CAACAUCACCUUAAGAACCGAUACAUCAGUGUAACGGUGCGGCUGCCCGUUACCGCUAACAUUGUACUUGAACAGGACAAAUGGAGUAGCCAGAGCGAGAUACAAACACAAUGUUUAUUGUGCACACAAACACGACAACUACAUUUCACCACAAUCACCGCAUCUGUAAGACACAAACAUAUAACAUACCGUCACAGAAGAGCCAUCCAUACAUCGCAUGGCAAACAUUGUACAUAGCUAAGACAAUGGCGAACUUCUUACCGUGCGGUGGCACGUUGACGUCCUGCGUCUGGACAGAGGGAAGACCCGACGUAAAGUCGGAAGGGUCUUUUGAACGUUGGCGCACGGAACGUAAGACGUGGGUGGUGGGAUGAUAGGGGUGUUUGUAGUAUGUAAUUACUGGGGAGUUAUUUAGAGGGCUAAAUAAUUAUGUAACAUGAUUGUAUUUGUAUUAACCUGUCUGUAUUAUUAUAGUGAAUGUAUUUAUUGAUAGUUAGGCAGAAUAGGUAUUAUUUUAAAGAUAAUUGAUCUAGGAUAGGUAAAAUGGUUUAGCCUGCGCAAGUAAAAUGCCAGAGCACAGCAUGUGGAGGUCAGAUAGGUCUAAGGUGAACAACAGCCAACACCUCUGAAAGUUGAGUGGAAAAGUACAUGGAGCUUACUUUUGAUUAUUGAAAGUGCCUUUGUUAUUUUGAAGUUAUUUAGUUAUUGGAAAUUAUUGUUUGGAGUUUUUUUUUUCUUUUCGAUGUUUUUCUCCAUACUGAGAUGUUUGCCUUCUGCCACGGGCGAGUAAAACCUUUUGGAUGAAUCCUAAAUCUUUGAAACACUGCCUCACAGCCUUUAUUUCACUGCCGCAAAGUCAGCCAUCCUACAAUCAGCAUCUGUGUUGCAAUACUUUGCAAAAGUGUGAAGAUUCAAACUUAUGGGAAAGGCAGAGGGUUAUCUUAUGAUUGUGAAGAGCUGGUGAGGGGUGAGGGGUUUCUUUGAGUGUAGAUGUUUGUGUGUUAGCAGUUGGACAAAUCAGGCAUCUGGUGAUUAUUGAGGUGUGAGGAGGAACAAAGGGAGGCUUAAAGCAUUUCA
ensembl:lncRNA